UACGUAGGGGGCAAGCGUUGUCCGGAGUUACUGGGCGUAAAGCGCACGCAGGCGGUCUCUUAAGUUUGGAGUGACAGUUGGUGGCUUAACUGCCAAAGUGCUUCGAAAACUGAGAGACUUGAGGGCUUCAGAGGGACACGGAAUUCCGGGUGGAGUGGUGAAAUGCGUAGAGAUCCGGAGGGACACCAAAGGCGAAGGCAGUGUCCUGGGGAGUACCUGACGCUCAGGUGCGAAAGCCAGGGGAGCGAACGGG
rnacentral:rRNA from 1 species